rnacentral:rRNA from 1 species
GUUUACGGCGAUGCCACCCUGAACAAGCCUGAUCCUGUCUGAUCUUGGAAGCUAAGCAGGGUCGGGCCUGGUUAGUACUUGGAUGGGAGACCACCUAGGAAGAUCAGG